GUACUCACUUCGGUAGUACAUAUUCCAAAAUUGGAGCUAUACAGAUAUUGUUAGCCUGGCCUCUGCCCAAGGGCAACGUAAACAUUCGUCAAUUGAUCCAUGUCACG
ensembl:snRNA U6 U6 spliceosomal RNA